CUAGAUACUCCCAAAAAAUUCACAUCUAAACAAUAUAUGAUCAAUAAUUUCCUCAUUUCCGCAUUCACUCAUGCACAAAGUUGCAUUAGUUUGAAGAAUUCAUUGCCCAGUCGAAUUAUCCUUUAUAGGGAUUCAUUAUAUAAGGUGAAUAAAUGGGGUGUCCGAGGUUCGAACCCCGGCCCCUGCAUAUAAUAAUGCAUUGUCCUACC
rnacentral:lncRNA from 1 species